rnacentral:rRNA from 1 species
AAAAUACCCAACUGUUUACCAAAAACAUAACUGUAUGAGAUAUUAUGCAGCUUUUUCUGCUCCAUGACAUGUUAAAUAGCCGCAGUACUCUGACUGUGCAAAGGUAGCAUAAUCAAUUGGCCUCUAAUUAAGGUCUGGCAUGAAUGAACGCAUGGGUAAUGACUGUCUAAGGGAUGUUAAUUGAAAAUUAUUAAGUUGGUGCAAAUUCCAACAGGAUUAAAAAAGACGAGAAGACCCUAGAAACUUAUAGUUGAUUUUGCUGGGGCGGCAGAAUUGCAUAUAACCAAUUUUAAUUUACGUGAAGCGACGCAGAAAGAAAAAGUUACUCUAGGGAUAACAGCAUAAUUUUAAUAGUUUGUGACCUCGAUGUUGGACUAGGGAUGUUACUUUCUAGAAGAAGGUAAUUAUGGCUCUGUUCGAGCCCUUAGCCCCUACAUGAUCUGAGUUCAGACCGGCGUGAGCCA